GUGGGGUUGUCUCGGUGGUAGAGUGCAGGACUUGAAUACCUGAGGGUCUGAGUUCAGUCUCUGCCACCACU
rnacentral:tRNA from 1 species